GGAAGGAUCAUUACUGAGGGGCUUCGGCUCCAUCAAGAUACCACCCCUUGCAUUUCGAGCACCUUCUGUUUCCUCGGCGGGCGACAUGCCCGCCAACGGGGACUCCACCAAACUCUUUUGUAGUUGCAGUAAACGUCUCAAAAACAAAUAAAUCAAAACUUUCAACAACGGAUCUCUUGGUUCUGGCAUCGAUGAAGAACGCAGCGAAAUGCGAUAAGUAGUGUGAAUUGCAGAAUUCAGUGAAUCAUCGAAUCUUUGAACGCACAUUGCGCCCUUUGGUAUUCCUUAGGGCAUGCCUGUUCGAGCGUCAUUUAAACCCUCAAGCACUGCUUGGUGUUGGGCGCUUGUCCCCCCCCCCUCGGGGCGGCGGACUCGCCUCAAAAGCAUUGGCGGCCUUUGUCUUGGGCUUCGAGCGCAGCAGACUCGCGCCUCGCGAUCCUCCGGCAAGGGCGUCCAACAAGACGCAUCUCCAAGUUUGACCUCGGAUCAGGUAGGGAUACCCGCUGAACUUAAGCAUAUCAAUAAGCGGAGGAAAAGAAACCAACAGGGAUUGCCUCAGUAACGGCGAGUGAAGCGGCAAGAGCUCAAAUUUGAAAUCUGGCUCUUUCAGAGUCCGAGUUGUAAUUUGUAGAGGGCGCUUUGGCGUCGGCUACGGCCUAAGUUCCUUGGAACAGGACGUCACAGAGGGUGAGAACCCCGUACGUGGCCGCUAGCCUUCGCCGUGUAAAGCCCCUUCGACGAGUCGAGUUGUUUGGGAAUGCAGCUCUAAAUGGGAGGUAAAUUUCUUCUAAAGCUAAAUACUGGCCAGAGACCGAUAGCGCACAAGUAGAGUGAUCGAAAGAUGAAAAGCACUUUGGAAAGAGAGUCAAAAAGCACGUGAAAUUGUUGAAAGGGAAGCGCUUGCAGCCAGACUUGCUCGUAGUUGCUCAUCCGAGCUCCCGCUCGGUGCACUCUUCUGCGGGCAGGCCAGCAUCAGUCCGGGCGGUCGGAUAAAGGCUCUGGGAAUGUAGCUCCCCUCGGGGAGUGUUAUAGCCCAGGGUGUCAUGCGACCAGCCUGGACUGAGGUCCGCGCAUCUGCUAGGAUGCUGGCGUAAUGGCUGUAAGCGGCCCGUCUUGAAACACGGACCAAGGAGUCUAACAUCUAUGCGAGUGUUUGGGUGUCAAGCCCGGGCGCGCAAUGAAAGUGAACGGAGGUGGGAACCCCUCGGGGCGCACCAUCGACCGAUCCUGAUGUCUUCGGAUGGAUUUGAGUAAGAGCAUAGCUGUUGGGACCCGAAAGAUGGUGAACUAUGCCUGAAUAGGGUGAAGCCAGAGGAAACUCUGGUGGAGGCUCGCAGCGGUUCUGACGUGCAAAUCGAUCGUCAAAUUUGGGCAUAGGGGCGAAAGACUAAUCGAACUAUCUAGUAGCUGGUUCCUGC
rnacentral:misc_RNA from 1 species